UUUUCAAGAUUUAUUAUCAAGUAUAAGUUAAUAUACUUACAUAAAUCAACAUGUAGAAAUGUAUUAAAAAUUAGUAUGUGAGGAAAAAAGCAUCAACUUACAAAUACGCAGGAUUGGAUUUGUUGUCCCAAAAACUGAGGCUGGAGGGCUCGUUGUGGCGCAUGGGAACUUCCUGGAAAAUGACUUAACAUUUAUUCAAAGAAUGAAUUCAUUUAAAACGUUAAAACAUACUUCAAAAAAAGAGAAUUAGUUUGUAAUUGAUUUGUUGAGGCUGUGUGUGAAACUACUUUUCCUUCAGUUUCCUGUUGCCUUGGUGUGACUUGUAGAAACCUUGUUGAUCUUGGUAGAACAGAAUUUCACAACAGUGCAUUUUGCAAAUUCCAUUUUUGGUUAUCAACUAUGUGAUGGUAAGAGGGUAGGUAUAAGAAUUUUUUGUUUCAUUUUACUUUAACUGUUUAUAUACCUUUCAUUUAAUGCUACCUGGUUUGGUGGCAGGAAAUGGCCAAAGAAUAAUAAUAGUGUCUCAUAUUUACCACACAGCUUUUAUGGGCCUGGGUCUCAGUUCUUUUCAUGUAUUAAUGUUUUAAAUCUCUAGAGCAACCACUGAUGUAAUGCUAUCAACCCUGUCUUAACCAAGAGAAACAAUGAGGCAGAGAGGUUAGAUGACUUGCCCAAGGUCACACAAUCAGCAGCGGCAGUGAGGAUUCCUGCCUAGGCCUUGGGCUGCAGAGUCCAUGCUCUCACUACUGCCCAGUAAGGCCCACAGAGGUGAACACCUCUGUCUACAUAAAAACUAUCCUGAGCAGCAGUUUGCAGAAAACCUUGUAAUUUUGAGUGUUUUUCUACUUCUUUGAAACAAAUGACUCCUAAAGGAAUAGAAAGCUUAAAUUGAAUCUCAUCCAUCUGUAUUGUUGAGAAACUAUUAACAACCUCAGAAACUUCCCUUAUGGCUGGAAGACGCACAAUCCUACUGCUUUUUCAUCAAAAUGAACACAGACGUGCUCAACAUAAAUACUUAAGCUAUUACCAGUGGGAUCUGUUACUCUUGGCAAAGAAAUCAUGAGUGAGAUAAUUACUAACAAGAGUGCAUAAAUACCAUUUUAAAAACAUGAAAUAUAAAAACAAAACAAAGAGAUUUAAAUUCUAGGCCUGAGAAUUUAUUUCUCUUUGUAUUUUAGAAACCCUCCCUAGAAUUAAAGCAGUCAUUAUGAGAAUGGCUACUCUCAAACCAAAUGAAGUUUGAGAAAGGACCCAGGUCCACUUGCUUGUUCAAACCACAAGUUACUUCCUCUAAAUUAUGCAUUUGAUGAAUUUAUAAAUUUUUUCCUUAGAAGGAUUCAUGUAUGCACUCACAGGUAAUGUCCUGCAUAGAAUUUCAGGGAGCCCAAAGACUUGGAUCAAGUACUUCAGAGGCUGAACUGUGCAAUCAUGGAGUGAGGAACCUCUGUUACCUGGUAUGGCUGCUCAGUUUCUUUGGCCUCUCUAAAUCCUGAUAGUCUUUCCACUACAGCCACUUUACUUCCUAAUGUGGAAUCCAAGUGUAUAAUAAAUUCUCAUAGAAGGAAAAGUGCAAUCAAUAUGGGUCUUUAAAAUAGUAGUACUGGAGUUCCCGUUGUGGCGCAGCAGAAAUGAAUCCAACCAGGAGCCAUGAGGCUGCCGGUUCAAUUCCUGGCCUUGCUCAGUGGGUUAAGGAUCCAGCAUUGCCGUGAGCUGGCGGCUAUGGCUUUGAUUAGACCCCUAGCCUGGGACCCUCCAUAUGCUGCAGGUGCGGCCCUAAAAAAGACAAAAAAGAAAAAAAAAAAUAGUAGUACUGCACCCACCCAGGGAACUAUUUUCUACAUCAAACUCCGAUCUUAAAAGGAUCUGCAGGUGGUAACUUCAAACAUUUUAAAGUAAAAAAUACUUCUCAUUUUAAGUGGCAUCUAGGAUCAAAGGAUGGAACUAUUAAAGAAAAAUCUGAGGGGGGGGGGAAGCAAUCUGACAGGCACCUGAGUUCUAAAGUCUCCAGGCUUAAGUAGUGGUAUGUUUAAAUUUACGAAAGUGUGAAGGAUUUAACUUAAUUAGAUCACCUACUGGAACAGAAAUGAGUUAAGUCUUAGACCAUCGGAGGGAGAAAGAUAACCAAAAUGCUAAAUGAAAUGUAAAAACUAUGUAAAAAAAAUUGGGCUGGCAGGAAAGAGAUUAGCAGACUGAUUCCUAUAACAAAGUGAAACAGGAACUUGGAACUUGGGGAGGCAGGUGGGCACCAAGAUGGCUUUGCCUUAAAGGCUUCUACAAAACCCUGGAUACUUUCCACUUCAGUUUUAAUGAUUCUCUGGGGGUUCUGGGGAAGGGGAUAAAGCCCAGAACCUAUUCAAGGCAAGGAAUCUACUAGAAAGCUGCCAUUUUUAAAAGGCCAACAAUUGCAUGACAUCACUGAAUUACAUAGGCAUUACCCAUGAUUCAACCUAAUUAGAGUAGACCCCUGAUACAGCUGGGUGUAUGUCAUAAAAACAGAAGAAAUAACCCUGCCAAGCUGAAGGAAAUGGCAAAGAAGAUUGCUUAUCUUGGUCCUGGCACUGUGUAGAAGGGGUUUUAAAAAGCUCUUUCUUAUGAAUUCAGAACUAGGACCUGCAGCUUUGAGGCCUAAUUUCAUGACACCUGUAUGAUUUGAAAAAUAUGAAGUGAGGAAUUUAGAGUCUCUGUCAUUACUGCCCUACUCUACCCAGAGGGGCAAACUCUAAUCUUCUCUGGGGGAGUUCAGCUUCUAUCCAGGCUGCAGAAUCUCCCCACAGAUAAAGAUAAAUGGGCAAGUAAAAAUGGGCAACUCCAAGUCAAGGAUCACAGAACACAUGGAAACAAGAACUGGUAGGAACAACAAAGAAACUCUUAAAAGUUUCAGAUAUUGGAAUCAUCAGAUGAACCCUAAAAUAACCAUGUUUAUUGUAUUUAGGGAAAUAAACAUAAAAUUAAAAAGAUCAGAAGAAAGUAAAUGACAUCAAAGAAGAACCAAGCAGAUUCUGAAAUCAAAACCCGAACUUGAAAUAAAAAUACAACAAUUAAAAUUAAAACUUCAGUGGAUGGAUUAGAUAGAUUAGGCAUGACUGAGAAGAAAAUCAGUAAAUGCAGAAGACAGAGCUGAAGCUAUUUUUGAGAAUGCAGAUCAUAGGGAGAGAGAUGGAAAAAAAUGAGAGGAUAAAGGGAAAUGGAAAAAUGAGGCCUAAUGUACAUCUUGCUAUAAAUCCCAAAGAAGAAUGGGAAGAGCAAAGAUACUAACUUCUAACACUAAUAAUUUAAAUUUGCCAAUAACCAUUAGAAAAACAACAACACUAAGUUAUAAAGAAUCAAAAACAAACAAAAAACAAAAACAAAAAAGGAGUUCCCAUUGUGGAGCACCAGAAAUGAAUCUGACAGGGAACCAUAAGGUUGCGGGUUUGAUCCCUAGCCUCGAUCAGUGGGUUGAGGAUCUGGUGUUGCCAUGAACUGUGGUAUAGGUGCAGACAAGGCUCGGAUCUGGCGUUGCUGUGGCUGUGGUGUGGUGUAGGCCAGCAGCUGUAGCUCUGAUUAGAUCCCUAGCCUGGGAACC
rnacentral:lncRNA from 1 species